rnacentral:rRNA from 1 species
AUGGCUCUCUCUGACCUCAAGUUCGAACAAGGCUUGGCCUUCGAAGCCUACAUCUGGAAGCAAUUUGGUGUUCCAAUCAAUCAUUUCGAGGGUGGCAAACUCAAGGAAUUCUUCCUGGUGGCUGCGGUGACUCGAUCUAAACUUUGUAUCAAUGCUGAUUCGUUUGGGGUUUUCCUUUGGGGCAAUGGUGGACCGGAUUCUCACAAAGAGUUCCGGCUGUAUCAGCAAGAACUUGACGAGGAAUGGACUGUGGUGAACCGUUCUGGUGAUCGUAGGUCCUAUUUUGAAGCAGUUCAAACUCCAAGGUUCUUUCCUGGCCACAAUUCCACCGUUCGUUCUCCGGUUAGAUCUCUGGUCAGAUCCCCGGCCCGAUCACCGGUCAGAUCUGUUGCUGCUCGUCCUCUUUCAGUUUCUGAGCGCCUAACUCAAACAGCGGCUUCAUUACACCCGGCCUCUUUACACACCAUAUUAACUGCGCCCAAUAAUGUGGCCCUCGGAGGGGCGGGACUUACGGGUAUACAAAAUUCUGGGCCAGCCCAAGUUACUAGGGAGCCCAACAGCCUUUUCUGUAUUCGCUGUCUUGGUGUGGGUCAUCUUCAGCCCAGUUGCAAGAAUAGAAUCCGCUGCAGAGGAUGCCGCCGCUUGGGUCAUAUCAAGGAUAACUGUAGGUUUGGAGGCGCGAACUCCGAACCGAUGCCUCGCAUUCAAUCGCCUCUCCUGCAGCAGCCACUUUUGGCUAGGGACCGAGACUCCCGUCAAUCGCCACAUUUAAGCCCAUCUGUCAGAGAGGGCAUCAUUUCCCCUGUUCAGUCAAAUCAAGCAAUUACCGUCGGUGCCUACUCGCAUUCUCACCACUCUCCUCCUUCUCUGCAACAACCAGCUCUCCCUUCGAGGGUCUUGACUAACGCGGCUACUCUCCUCUCGCCGGCGAUGGCGACCUUCCCAUUCGACCCUGCGCCAUUUCUCCCUGAGGGUUUCCAUGCGAUCGAGGUGGAAGGGAGGCCUGCGCGCCACCGUGUGCUUCAUGGCAAUCUUGUGCCAGCCAACGAAGAUCUUGCCAUUGCAACAAUCAUCCCCAUGCUGCAAGGAGAAGUAAGUUUUCUCAAUGUCCGUGAGAUCCUCCUAGAGUUUCUGCAAUCCAAGCGCAUUGGUGUCUCUGAAGUGACAAAGUGCCCAUUUGGACAAGCUUUUGUGAGGGUUCAUAGCGCGGCCGAUAGAGAUUUUCUAGUGAACAGGGGACCGCAUGCCUACGAUGACAUUCAUAUUGUCUUUCAAAGACAUAAUGAGGGGCUGAAUUGGAAAAACUUCAAUCUGAAUCGAGAUGUCUGGCUCAUGGUGUUCGGUUUCCCUGCUGAUUUAAGGAAUUUUCAUGAGCUAUCUAAUGCUACUGCAAGUUUCGGGCAGUUGAUGGUUUGGGACAGAUUUAAAUCAAGUGAUGCGGCUGUGGCACUGAAAGUUAAAGUUGAAGCUCUCAAAGAUGUUCCUGCAAGCCUGGUGGUUUCUGGUGCCAAGAACUUUAGUGGUCAGUCUUGGACUUGCCCUGUCGUGAUCGUGGAUGAUAUCCCUAUUGGAGUGCCACCGCCUGAUGAAGACCCAGUUCCUGAAGAUGGCAACUCUCACCCAAGGCCACCAGAGCAAUUCCAUCACCCCAAUCAGAAUAAUCUCAUGGUUGGACCAGUUGCUUUCACCUUCUGCAGCCUGAGCAGCAGGCAGCAGCAUCCUGUUGAUGUGGAAAUCCAAGCUGGAGAGUUUCUGGAAUUACAUGACUUAAUGGGACCUCUUGAAGUUCAGGUUGUACAGCCAAAAGAUGAUCACAGUGGGCUCACUUUAUCUUUGGGCCUGCCAAGUGCAAAUGUUAGUUCAGCUGAGUCUGCUAUUGGAGCACCAGGCAUUCCUGAUCUGGAUGAGCUUCUGGCACCCCUACUGCCCAUAGAAGACUUGGCAAUUCCAGAAGCUCAUUUGCCUGCUCUUGAGAAUGAAAUGCUGGUUGCUGAAUCUCUUCCGCAGCCUCAAAUGGAACUACCAGUACCAGAGCCACUUUUGCAACACAUGCUAUUGCCAGUUGAUGUUGCUGCUGCUACUUUCAGUGUUGUAGCUGAAAUUGAUGCUCCUCCUGCUGCUCUCCCCAUUGCAGCAAUAGUUCCAGAUGUUGCUGUUGCACCAUUGCCUGCAGAAGAGGUGCCUGUUGUCGCUACCAAUACUGAUGAUCUUGCUGCCCCUGCUCAGUUGCCUGAGAAAGAGCCCCACUCUCAGGCUCUCCUAUCUCUGGCCAAUAUGGAUGGCCCUGCUGCUGAACAGACUGAAGCUCUCAAUCAAAAUGCAGAAAUCUCCAGUUCCUCUGCAGGUCAGGAUGAUGAGUUUCUCUCAAAGGAGGGGUUGGAGCUUUGGAAGGCUCACUUUGCUCCUGGGGCCUCAACAGAUAAAGUUACCCAGGGUUCUGCAAGUAACCAACCUCUGCCAUUUGCAAUACCUGACAAGUGUCAAAGUGAACAGAUUCUUUGUUGUAAGAAUUCAGAUGAGGAGCCAGAAGUUUCUUCUAAUGUUGUUUCCACACCCCAGGCAUUGCACAGAAGUAACACUCCCCCUCUACCACCUGCCAGCACCUCCCAUGCUCACACCCAAAGGAAGAGAAAAGAUAAGGCUCCCAUGGUGGAAACUGAGGUAAGAAGGAGCUUCAGAUUGAAAGCUUUAAACAAUGGCUUCAGAAGGAAAUCCUGCUCAGACAAAAAUUGUUUCCCCUGUUCUACUGAUCCUCCAGCUAUUACUACUAAGAUUGUAAAUAAUCUUGCUGUCUCCUUUUGCAAGGCUGCUGCAAAGGACUGCUCUGAGGAGAUGCUACAUCAGCCCAAGAAGAAGAAGGAGGCCAAGGCUGCUGCCAAAGGACCAUCCAAGAAGGCUGCUUUCAAGCCUUAA